UAAAUCUUGGGUGUUAAUGUCGAUUGGAAAAAAAAUGGAGGGAUUAGAAGUGCGAACUGAAGAAAUUCCACUACUCGCCUCAUGAUAAUGAUGAGGCGCGGCUAGCAGACCUCAAUGAGCGUGUCCAAAUGGAUCAGUGGAAGGCCCUCAUUGAGUUUUGGAACUCUGAAGAGGGAAAGGUCCGUAAUAAGAUAAAUACGGAAAAUUGGAGAAAACAACGCAUUAGCCACACUGCAGGCACGAAGAGCUUUGUGCGAAUACGUGAAGAAGAGAGAAACAAGAGGGCCAAUGGGGAGGAUUUGACCCGAGUAGAUAUGUUCUUGUUGACACAUAGACGCAAGAAUGGGAUGCCUAUGGAUGAGGCCUCAGCAAGAGCAAUGGAACAAUUAAAUGAACGAACUUCGCAGCAGCCAGAAGCUUCACAUAAUAGCACUGCGAGGAAAGAUAUAUUCUCAGAAGUCAUGGGUGACGAACGACAUGGCCGUGUCCGCACUUAUAGGUUAGGUCCCUCUCCUUCUGAUAUAUGGGGCACAACAUCCCACAGUGUCCAGUCCCAAGGGAUGACCUCCAAUGCUCAGAAGAUAGAUGAACAAUAUGAGGAAUUGCAUGCUGAAAUAUCUUCACUAAAAGAAACUAUGGCUGAUAGAGAUGCUCAAAUAUCUUCACUAAGAGAAACUAUGACAACAUUGAUGGCUGCCAUAACGAAUCCAAGCAUUAAUCUAGCUACAUUAUUAGGUGUUUCAGCUAAUCCUAGCUUGAACCAACCCUCCUCAUCAUCAAGCCACUUGGUUCCAACCCCUCAGGUAAUUAUAAUAUAUACAUGUAUAUUUUUAUGUGUAAUAUGUUUUCAAUUAUACAUAGUUCGAGCUGUAUAUAAGAAUUGACAUUGAUUUAUCAUUUGUAAAGAGACUUGGUGAAUAAGGGGAAUUCUACGAGUUGCACUAAUGUGACUCAAGUUCUUCUUAAGAGUAUUGUAAGGCCUGGGGAUACUGUAGCUAAAGGAAUCGUUUUGAGCACGGAUCCAUUGACAAAAGUAGGGGGGCAAAAACUUGGAGUUGGUUUCUGGGAAGUAUCUGUUCAAGUGGCAAUCGUACGUGAUGAGGAUUUGAUAAGGACCCAUGGACGAUAUAAAACAAUUGGGGAUGCAAUUGGAACGAGUAUUGCUUGGCCCACUACUUUAUGUAUGGGUGCAGACAGAAAUGGAUGAUGACUACAUGAGAGAAGUUUUUAUUAAGUAUUUGGAACUGUAAACAUCUUUUGUAAGUGGGGGUAGUAGGGAUCUGUGGUUUCAGACUUUUGGAUUGAGUCAGACACAUCUAAACAAUUUAUUUUUAUCUUAGUUUAAUUAUAGAGAGCACAUCUAA